rnacentral:rRNA from 1 species
UUUUGCGCAAUGGGGGAAACCGUGACGCAGCAAUGCCUUGUAAAGGCAUGUAGGCCUUGAGGUAGUAAACCACUUUUAUCGGGGUCGAUAAAGACGGUACCCGAGGAGUAAGCCACGGCUAACUACGUGCCAGCAGCCGCGGUAAUACGUAGGGGCAAGCGUUGUCCGGAUUUACUGGGCGUAAAGCGCACGCAGGCGGUUAAUUAAGUCGAAAGUGAAAUCCCCGGGCUCAACUCGGGAACAGCUUUUGAAACCACUUCACUUGAAGGUGUAAGAGGGAAGUGGAAUUCCGAGUGUAGCGGUGGAAUGCGCAGAUAUGUGGAGGAACACCGAAGGCGAAGCAACCCCCUGGGCCAUCUGACGCUGAUCACGAA